GGCCGUUUUUAUACUAGAGACGCAUUAUGCGCCUGGACGAACUUGGGCAAGCAUUUGUUGUUCGUCCGGUUAUGCGUCCUUAGUAUAAAGACGGGCACAAGACGCAUAUGCGCCUAGACGAACUAUGUUCGAUUCUUCGUCUUAAGAGACGCACAACCGAUGAUAAUUCGUCUAGACGCAUAAUGCGUCUUGUGCCCGUCUUUAUACUGAGGAC
rnacentral:lncRNA from 1 species